rnacentral:lncRNA from 1 species
GGGCCAGAGAACAUUUCCUAUACCUCCCAUACCAAAGGUGACAUCAAAGUAAAUAUAAGGCGGACGGACUAAACAGUCCAUUUUCGGAUCAGAUAGAUCGUCAGAAUGCCAAGAAAUGGCAGCAAAUUGGUUUCGAAUAAGAAAAUGAGGAGAUGAAGAUAGAGGAUGAAAAAUGCUAAACAUUUAUAAGGGGGUGAAGAUGAAGAGACAGAAUAUGAACAGCCACAUUUCUGUCUAAUAGACGGAAUUAAAUGGCCCUAAGUCUCGGGAACAGUAAUGGGAAUAUCAAAAGGGAACGGACAAAAUUCUUAAUGCAAAGCAGUUAAAUGCUUGAAGAAUUGAUGAUUAGAAAAUAAACAUCAAAUAAAUGCACAAGAAAUUAAUGUUCAUUAAUAAGGGACAAAAGUACAAAAAAGAAAAG